GUAAGUGGUAGAGUAGCCUUGCUGCUACGAUCCACUGAGAUUCGGCCUCACCGUCCCAACGAUUUGU
rnacentral:rRNA from 6 species